AGUAAGUUCCGCCCAGACUCCUCCAACACACCCCAGCCUUGGAGCCCCGGAGGUAGACGGGGCUGAGCGCUGGGGACAGCGCUGGGCACCCGGGAAGAACUGUCCGAGAGUAAGGACGCGCGGCAGGGGGCGGUGGUCACGCCGCCGGGCACCAGCGAAUCCGGCCCGGGCACCUAUCAGGAGGGGAAGACGAAGGAAGUGGAGGCCCCCUGAGAAGAAACAACUUGUCUAGAGCCACAGGGGGUGUUGCUGACCCCUUGGACGAAUCUGCACUAUUCCUGCACAUCCCUCCCCUCACCCGGACCCCCAGCCCAGAGGCUGAGGGACCGGGACCAGGUAGCUGGCUUACCUGAGACUGGAGGUGCGACUCGGUACGGGAUCCCUGCACGUGCCUCUGCUGCCAUCUACAGGCCACCUCCAGGACUGCAGGCUCCGGCGCUUCGGUCUCACCCACAGCUCAGACCUUCGAUGGGAGGCACCCAGUGACUUCACUGGAUUGGAGGAAGCGAGGGCUGUACCCAUGCCGUCCAGCCUACACGACAGACACACAAAACAAAGGAACCCUGAGGUCAAUAGCUAUCAUGGCAGAGCCCCCAUCCCAACCCCAAAGAACAACUCCGGGGUCCCGUUCUCACCCUCCAGCUAUGGCCUCCUCUUGCGUGCCUCCCUGAUCCCCUUCCCACAUCCACAUCCACAUGCACAAA